UACGUAGGUGGCAAGCGUUGUCCGGAAUUACUGGGUGUAAAGCGCGCGUAGGCGGUAGGCCAAGUCUGCUGUGAAAUCGCCCGGCUCAACUGGGCGCGGUCGGUGGAAACUGGUCAACUGGAGGACGGUAGAGGCGAGUGGAAUUCCCGGUGUAGUGGUGAAAUGCGUAGAGAUCCGGAGGAACACCAGUGGCGAAGGCGACACGCUGGGCCGUACCUGACGCUAAAGCGCGACAGCAUGGGGAGCAAACGGG
rnacentral:rRNA from 1 species